AGGAGGCCGGACUUGCGACCGAGAUGUGACACUGGAGGGUUGGCUGCGUCUGUCGCGUAGGGUAUGUGAGCUCUUUGAAAGCAGAACGCUGUUGUUUCCAUGUUCUCCUCAUUCGGAAGAUACGAAGGCACAGUUCCUGCCUGUGAUUUGGGCAGGGCAGUGGCUGCCGUGUGGCCACUUAAGUAUUCUAAAAGAGAUUUAUCAGCAGGUUGCAGGUGAACAUGGCCUUGAGACUUAUUUUUUCUUCUUGUAGAAGAUGAGAGAAAAUUUAAACAAAAGUUCUCUAUGCUGAAUAAUUAGGAUGCUUGAAGAUGGUCAUCUGCCUUGCUUAAAUCAAGUGGAUAUUAAAUGUCAAAGCCAAUUCUAGAUGGUUUUUUCUUGGUCCGAUAAAAUUUUACCAAAACUUC